UUUUUUGUGGAGGGUUUGAUUCUGGCUCAGGACGAACGCUGGCGGCGUGCUUAACACAUGCAAGUCGAACGGGAUCCAAUGAAGCUUGCUUUGUUGGUGAGAGUGGCGAACGGGUGAGUAACGCGUGAUUA
rnacentral:rRNA from 1 species